rnacentral:rRNA from 1 species
AGAGUUUGAUCAUGGCUCAGAAUCAACGCUGGCGGCGUGCCUAACACAUGCAAGUCGAACGAGAAAGUGGAGCAAUCCAUGAGUAAAGUGGCGACCGGGUGAGUAACACGUGACCAAUCUACCCUUGAGUGGGGGAUAACCUCGGGAAACCGGGGCUAAUACCGCAUAAUAUCUCUGGAUCGGAAGAACUGGAGAUCAAAGGAGCAAUUCGCUUAAGGAGGAGGUCGCGGCUGAUUAGCUAGUUGGCGGGGUAAUGGCCCACCAAGGCAAAGAUCGGUAGCCGGCCUGAGAGGGCGCACGGCCACACUGGAACUGAAACACGGUCCAGACUCCUACGGGAGGCAGCAGUGGGGAAUUUUGCGCAAUGGGGGAAACCCUGACGCAGCAACGCCGCGUGGAGGAUGAAGUCCCUUGGGACGUAAACUCCUUUCGACCCGGACGAUAAUGACGGUACGGUGGGAAGAAGCCCCGGCUAACUUCGUGCCAGCAGCCGCGGUA